AAUGAACGUUGGCGGCAUUGAUUAGGCAUGCAAGUCGAGCGAGAAGGGUUUUGAAGCUUGCUUUAGAACCCGGAAAGCGGCGCAAGGGAGAGUAACGAGUAGUUAUCUACCCCAAGGCCCGGAAUAGCUGCGGGAAACUGCAGGUAAUGCCGGAUAAUAUCCCCGGAUCAAAGGUGUGAUUCCGCCUUGGGAGGAGACUGCUUUGUACUAGCUAGUUGGUAGGGUAAUGGCCUACCAAGGCUACGAUGCUUAGCGGGCGUGAGAGCGUGGCCCGUCUCACUGGGACUGAAACACUGCCCAGACACCUACGGGUGGCUGCAGUCGAGAAUCUUCGGCAAUGGGCGAAAGCCUGACCGAGCGAUGCCGCGUGCGGGAUGAAGGCCCUCGGGUUGUAAACCGCUGUCGUAGAGGAGAAAGGUCUGAUGAAGAAUCAGAUUUGAUCCAUUCUAGGAGGAAGUCGGUGCUAAGUUCGUGCCAGCAGCCGCCGUAA
rnacentral:rRNA from 1 species